rnacentral:rRNA from 1 species
ACGUAGGGUGCGAGCGUUGUCCGGAAUUAUUGGGCGUAAAGGGCUCGUAGGCGGUCUGUCGCGUCGAACGUGAAAACCCAGGGCUUAACCCUGGGCCUGCUUCCGAUACGGGCAGACUAGAGGUAUGCAGGGGAGAACGGAAUUCCUGGUGUAGCGGUGAAAUGCGCAGAUAUCAGGAGGAACACCGGUGGCGAAGGCGGUUCUCUGGGCAUUACCUGACGCUGAGGAGCGAAAGUGUGGGGAGCGAACAGG